GCCCCGGUGGCCGAAUGGGUAAUGCGGCCACCAGGUAGCGCCUUGGCGUGGGGACCCAGGGUGUGUGGGUUCGAAACCCACAGGGGACAACAUUACAUCCGGAGCCAACUUCUCAGCUCCUAAAAUAAUGGGAUGUGAACUUGCCAAGUAGAUACCUUCAGGCGGACCUACUACCUGAUUUAGCUUAUUGUUUCUGAGCUGGAAACCUGUAUUGCAUGUACCAAUUCUGUCUUUCAUUAAUUUUCCUAUGUUCUUGUUAUUCUUGGCACUGUUCAACACUAAGCAUUCCUCCGGUAUAACCAACUCUUGCCUGUAUUUAACAUCACACAAGGACUCGUCAUAAGCGCUGCUUGCAUACGAGUAUAACGGAAGAAUAAUAAUAAUAAUGUAUGAGUUGCUACAAUCACAUUCAGUGUCAGAUAAGAAAUGGCAUAUAAUUAGCAUGAACUUUAUUGAAGAUCUGUCAGAUAAUAAAAAGAGAAGUCAAAUCUAUAAUACUAUUGUUGUAUUUAUUGAUUUAUUUAUCAAAUAAAUCAUAAUUGUGUUUAUAUCUUCAGAGCU
rnacentral:sRNA from 1 species